GAAAUGCGAUAAGUAAUGUGAAUUGCAGAAUUCAGUGAAUCAUCGAAUCUUUGAACGCACCUUGCGCUCCUUGGUAUUCCUUGGAGCAUGCCUGUUUGAGUAUCAUGAAAUCUUCAAAGUAAAUCUUUUGUUAACUCAAUUAGUUUCUACUUUGGUAUUGGAGGUCUUUGCAGCUUCACACCUGCUCCUCUUUGUUCAUUAGCUGGAUCUCGGUGUUAUGCUUGGUUCCACUCGGCGUGAUAAGUUAUCUAUCGCUGAGGACACUGUAAAAGGUGGCCAAGGUAAAUGCAGAUGAACCGCUUCUAAUAGUCCAUUGACUUGGACAAUACUUUUAUGAUCUGAUCUCAAAUCAGGUAGGACUACCCGCUGAACUUAAGC
rnacentral:misc_RNA from 1 species